UUUCCUGUGGCUAAGUUGGUAGCGAAUUGAGCUAAGAACGCAAAGGUUGUGGGUCCAAAUCCCAGUAAAA